GACGUCAUGUGGGCGGGCUGCCCGCGCGCAGCGGCCGUUAGGUCUCCUCAGUGGUGGGUUUUGUCAGUUCGGUUGCCGGGCUUGUUCCUGGUUGCGGCUGUUCAUGUGUAGCCGUCCGCCGCAGCCUGUGGCUUUCCUCCUGUCCUCCAGCAUAGAAGGAGGGCAGCGGUGUCUGCCUUAUGACACGGCUCAGUGCUGAGCAAACCAUCGGCACCAGACUCCGGUGUUCAGUGCACUGCCUGAAGCUGAGCAGUGUGGAGGAUGGCCUGGCGUUUGCCUGUAGAGGCUUCGUGCUUGCAGUGGAAUUGGUCUGUGAAGCUGCUCAGAAAAAAAAAAAUGCAGCUAAAUAUCUAUACUUUUGCAGUGUCUUAAAUAGGGAAAAUGAUACUGACACAGCUGGUGAUGUGAAUAUGCAGUAAAUGCUGGACAGGAGAACACUGGAAAUGCCCGGCUGGGUCAGCAGUGCUGCUGUCAGGUGCUCUGUAGCAGCAGAGGAUUGUUCAGCAUAGGCCUGGCCACCUGUAGAACCCGUAGCACUGUGUUGGUGCUUUGCCCAUGCCUGAUGCUUUCAUUUUUUCAUGGUCUUGAUGACCACCAAUUUGUCUAAUCCCUUUUUGAGCCUACUGAUGCCAUCCAAAGCUUUGCUGGGCAACAAAUGCCAGAACUUCACUAGCUGCUGCUUUAAAAAUACACUUUCUUAGGUGUUUUUUUAACCUGUUGCCUUCUUCAUUUUAUCAAAUGACCAUUGGCUCUAGUAUUGCAGGAUUUGGUGAACGUCUGCAUUUACCUUGCCUAUCAUCUUCCUGAAAAUUGGGAAAUCACAAGUAAAUAUCCCAUCAGCUUUGCCCUCUGCAAUGUGAAGAAUUGCAAAAUUUGACCUUUGAAAGCAAGUACGUGAUUAAUUCAGUUGUCUUUUUUCUUCACCUUCCACAUUGUUGCUGUGCAGUUCUUCAUAGGAUCAUAGCAUGGCUUGGGUUGGAAGGGACCUCACAGCCCACCCAGCCCCAACCCCUGCUGAUGGCUGGGUGCCCCCCACCAGCUCACGCUGCCCAGGGCCCAUCCAACAUGGCCUUGAGCACCUCUAGGGAUGGGGCACCCACAGCUCUCUGGGCAGCUGUGCCAGGGCAUCACCGCCCUUUGGGCAAAAAGAUUCCUCCUGACACGUAAUCUAAAUCUCUCCUCUUUGGGUUUAAAGCCAUUCCCCCUUGUCCUGUCACUACCACCCUGUGUAAAACGUUGAUUUCCCUCCUGAACAUGUUGUUUUCCUCUCUCAUUUCUUGAGAUGGAGAGACAAGGUGUACACAGGCUUCAGGGCAUGGGUGCACCAAAGGUUUCUGUAGCAGCAAAACCCUACCUUCUGCUGUGGUUCCAAUGCACUUCCUUGUGAUGCUUGCUGUUUUCUUGGCUUUUUGGCUUACACUGCCUGUUGAGGCAACAAACAGCUCUUAGCAAUGACUGCAGGAACUCUUAUGAGGGCUUUUUCUGAGUUGAGAAUCAAGUAAAGUUUUUACUAACAAUUGGAGCACCUUUUGUUAGACACUCCUUAAAUUUAGCUGCCUUCAUUUCCUGUUUAUGUUUCACAUGCCACGUUUUUCUGGUCUUUCCUAUUUGCCUCACCGUAGCCUCCUUAACUCACUCACUGAGUCAUGCAGGAGGGUUUGAAACAGCAUUUUCUGUUUGUGUCAGGCAUUUUACCUGGGUUUCUAGUGCAAGAUUUUUAAGCCUUCUUGGUACCUGUAGGCUACUUGCUUUUGUACUGCUUUUUAGGUGGUUGGAGGGUUUUUUUUUUUUUUUUUUUUUUUUUUUUGGCAAUUUCUUCCCUAUUUUUACAUAUUUUGUUUUCUUAAAAUUCAGCAUUUGUUUGCUUUAAUUGUCUUGCUUUUUGUUGGUACACCAUGCAGCUUAAUUAUGUUGUGGUUGCCACCAGAGAACACCUCUCCCACUAAUAGCUCUCAAAUCAGAUCCUCUGCACUUCUGAAGGCUAAAUUCAGAGCUGUGUUUUUCCUUGUGGCUUCCAGGGCCAGUUAUUCUAGAAAUAAGUCUCAUAGUGCAUCCAGAAAUUCUAUCUCUACAUUUCACCCUGGUGAGGCACUGACCCAGUCUGUAUGCGGGUGGUUGAGCCCUCCCACUACAUGUCCUAAAUGUGCAGCUCGUCUAAUCUCACUUAAUGCAGCUGUUGAAAUGAAUCAAGGCAGGGAAAUGAGCAACCUCUCAGCACAGCUAAGCCUGAUUUGCACGAGGUUUUUGAGAUCAAAAUCAGCACCUGAAUCACCUGCAAAGUGCAGUAUGGUGAUCUGUAGCUUAGUGUGGCCUGUGCAAGACACAUCUGUACAUUAAGCCCUGACCUGGCAGUGAUGGGUAAAAAGAGCUGUAGUGGUGAAUUCCUUACCAUCAGAUUACAGCUUGAUAUGCAGCUGCAAUUUAGGCUAGCUGAAGUUUUCAUAUUGUCUUACACAUAGAGUGUGUUGUGUCUUUCUGAUGGGGAAGGAGCAAAAGCAUUCACUAGUAUACUUCCAAGAAACAAUGCUGUUUCAGUUCAGUUACUUGCACUAAAAUGCUCCUAUGGCUGUAUUUAGAGGCUCGUGCUUCACAUUACUACAAUGUUUAAUCUGUUCAAUAAUAUACAUACCACUGUUUCUCAUAUAAAAAUAUGUGAGCAAAAGCAAUUUUAUAGUUUUUUUUCAUCUAGAAACCUUACUAAAAUUCCUCUGACCCGAGAGCAAUCAAGCUCUCUAAUUGAAAGCCACAUCCUAGAAGUAAGAAGAUACAUCUGAGAGAGGAGGAUUUCAUACAGUUCCUGGACUUCUGCAGCUGCACCUUCAGAUCCCUGUGUGAGCAGCUUCUCUCAUUACUUCCUCCUUCCAGACUCGAGCACUCCCUCCUGGCCUUGCCCAAAACAUCCAUCCGCAUCUGCUUAGCUGGGCGAGGAGGAACGUACUCCAAUUCUGAGCUGGUUUGGAGCUGCACAGGUGCUGGGCAGCAGCCACCUUGUGGAACAGUUAGCUCAGUCAUGCCAGCCUUCGAGCACAGGAAACAAUUUGGUUCUCUUCCUACCCAGACAUGAAAUUUUCAUGGAAGUUUUCCCCACUGAUUAUCAUUGCAGCCUCCAUCCUAUCUCCGCUUUGUCAGAUUUGGUCAGAAUUAGCCUGAAGGUUCAAAAGUUAUCAAGGAAAGAGGAGGGGAACAGAUGGAUAAAAGAGGAAUUGACAGACAGCAUGAUCUCAUAAUCCCCGCUGGCAUAGGAAUUCAGGCUAGAAUUGAAAUAUUUUAGGUCAGAACACUGUGCACUUAAACUUCUCAUUUUGAAAGAACAAGCUUCUAAUGUGAAACAAAUUUUCAUUUGUUAGACCAUGGACUGGCUUUUAGGGGCAGAGAUUAAACAACAGCCUUCCCCUACAAACAUGUAACACUCAUAUCUUUGACAUUUCUUACAGUCCUUUUUCCUAUCCAGCCACAGCCCCAUAUGCUUCAGUGUUUCCUUCUGCAGCUCCUUAUGGGUCAAGAAUGUUUUUCUCUGAUUCAUUUUUUUCUUGGUUGUGUUCAGUCAAAACAUAAUUAAAGGCUUACCUUACCCUUUUUUUCCAUUCCAGGAGCAGUUGUUUUGCAUCUGUGUCCGAGCACCAGAGAGGCUGCUUAGAUAGUGUGUUGUAUUUACAAGCCAUUUUAUGGUGGAUUCCAACAGAUUAAGACAGAGACUUUUCUGGAAGGAUGUCUGCAAGCUCUGCACUAUCCCACCCGUGCCAUGUUGCAUUUGUUUCACUGCAAAACAUGAUGUAGUUGUGUCUGGUGCUCACUGAGAAGCUAUCAAUUACCCACUGGCCCAGGCUGUAAAACGCAUCAUAUAGGCAUCACAGCUGGUGAAUAUAAACCCUCCCACUGAGAUACAUCUGUAGUGAAGAACUCAUAUAAAAGUAUUUUGCUUAUUAUAGUUUUAGGUUUGGGGUUUGGUUUGGUUUUGUUAAAUAACAGCAAAGACAUGGAAAUAAGUUUUUAGGCGCUGUAACAGCGUGGAAGCUUUUUCAUUUUGCAUCAUGCAGGUUUUUAGCCGGUAGCAGCAGAAUUUUAGAGGGGCCCAAUGCAGAUUGCAGGAGUGCCAGCCACUCUUUGGAAGCACUCUGUUAAAAGAAGAUCAUUGCUUUAAGCAAACUUAUGCUCUGAAUUAAGCACAGCUUUUGAAGUGCCGUGUGAACUGUUAUGAUAAUAAAGCCAGAACACAGAAAUUUGGCACCAGCUCGCUCGCUCUCACAGGCACCUAUAUUGUCUCUCCGGAGGAACAGAUUUCAUCCCAAAACCUCGUGUUCCCAGAAAAGCAGGUCACAGUGAUGAGCUUUCUUCAGCUUUAUUGGAUACGAUGCCAUAAGUAAAAAAAAAAAAAAGCACCUAUACAAUUGGACUGUCACUGCUGAUGUAUUUAGACAUACAAUGCACAAAGUUAUUCUUUUCUAAAAAACCUGGUUGUUUACUCUUCUGGCCCUGUUUUGGAUUAAAACUCCAGCGGGAUGGGAAAGCACCCGCCUGCUCCUGCCACCGCCUCGCGCUGCUCCGCCUCUGCCAUCGCGUUCCAGCUCCUGCACACCAGGGCAGUGGCUGCUCUGCACAGCAGCGACACAAAGGAGCAGGAGCUUUUGGGGGCUUAUGGAGAGCUGCUCCCUCAGCCUGGGGAGCUCACAUCUUAGUGAGCAAAAGGAAACGGACCCCAUACCAGCGGCGGUCUCUGCUAUCACAAACCCAGUCCUUUCUGGCACUGGAAAUGCCCUCCAUUCCUUGCCUGUCUGCCCAUCAUGAUCGUACCAUUCUUGCCAUGCUGAGGUCCAUGGAAGCACUGGGUCAUUCACAAUUUCUGGAUGUCUAAUAACUGUAAUAACUGAAAACUUUGCCACUGAAACCACUUUAAACAACCUCUUUUAGAGGAAGGAGAUGGCCAUCACGAUUUUAUUUAUAACUUAAGGCUCUUUUCCAUUUAAAUUAGCUGCAGGAAAAAAAACAUUUUUUUUACUGAUAGUCACACUUCUGGACUCUUAAUAUUAAAUUUCCAUCAUUAGCAAAAUGGGGAAACUUACUUUUUUUAUAAGCAACUCACAAGGCAUUACAAAGGUCAUGAAAGAAACUGCACAGGUCUUAAAGUGUGCACGGCUCAUCAAAGCAGUGCCACAGCAUCACUCGGAAUGCUGCUCCCCAUGCAGUUCUGCCUUGCACACACCAACACACACCACCAAAAAGUUUGCUGCCCCUCUCUUCCUGUUGGAGAUUUCAGCAGCACACUGGGCGCCCUUUUGCACUCAUUAUAUUAUAGGGGGACUUUCAAAGAAAGCUUUGCUAAAAAGAUGGUUUCCUCUGGCAUGAGUAUUUUCAGUUAGCUUGGCUUCCUGGCAACCUACACACCAUGAUUUCAGACUAAAACUCCCAUUUUCAUAUUUUAAGAAAUCUAUAUUUUCAGUGCAACACUGUUGACAAAUUGGAACGAAAGAAUGUCUCACGCUGUGCUUGAAAAUACAACAGCGUUUGCAAAAGCAUUUCAGUUCUGUCCCCCUCUCAGCUCCCCCAGUAGCAAACUGAACUGCCCACCUUCAUCUGGCUGUGAGUUUCCCAUUCAGCACAGCACACACGCAGAACCUGCAGGCCACCUCGCACACUUUUCUUGUACCUCGCACAGAGCCAGAGUGAUUUCAAGUACAAUUAUUUGGAACAGACACUAAUGCAUUUCAAUUUGCACUUUGUUUUACAGGCUGGUUUGUCUUCAGAAAUUUAAUAGUGGAAAUUUAUACAGCACCCAUGAUUACAGACAAAUAACGUUAAUGACUGUUGGGGUUACAUUGGGCCAACAUAUGUAAAAGAAAUUUAAUUUAAAUCGCACUCCAACCUGAAUGCCAUAGGAUUAAUUUGAAUUGCUAAAACUCCAUGAGCUCCUCAUUAAGUAGUCAUUAAAGCUAUAUGAAAAGAUUUGCAAAGAGAAGAAACGCUGCACACAAAUAGAGACCAUUUCAAAAGAAAAUAAAUGAAACUCACAACAAAAAGGUAUAAAAAUCUGUAUUCAUAUUCUGACAAAACAACGAUACAACACAGCGUUGCAGGGGAGUGGGACUAGAUGGCCUUUCAAAGUCCCUUCCAACUCAAAGGAUUCUGUGAUUCUAUGAUUCGGAGUAGAUUUUCCUCCACUGCAGUCUUUUGCUGGGAUUUAGAAUAGUUGAGAUAGAAAGAAGGGCCAAGAUGACCAAAUUCUCACAUGCUCUGUUCAGUAUUUCCCCUCCAUUGUAAUUCUAGGUAGUAACGUAAUGCUUGGGUGUUUCUUUGGCAGCUGCCAAUUAACAGUCCUACACUUAGUUGGUCACUUCAGCAAUUUGGCUUAUUUUGCUUUCGGUGAAACUUCCUUUGGUUUCCGACGUGUUCACCCCACUCGUAUUUGUGGGGAGUACAGAUCUUUAAGAACACCUAAAGGGACUCAGUUCUCCUUCCCCCAGUGCUGGGAUGUGCAAUGAAGUGUGUAAAAUCACUAUUCCUAGGUUAAGAGCUGUGACAUUCGUUUCCACAGUGCUCAUCUGCAGGGACAAAACCACUCACAGGUAGUCUCCGUUGAGCGAGGAAGGUGGCACUACAGUGCAGAUCACAGUGAAGGCCUCCAAGAAGAGCAGAAUGACACUCCAGGGCGCUGCGCAGAGCACUGCUGCAGCCUGGGCUGACACACGGCUCUGCAUCCUCCUGUUCCACUUCUGUGCUUUUGGCACUCAAUUCACCGAAACUGACCACGCCUGACGUACAGAGGGGUGCUCCGAACACCGAUGCUAACUAAGAAAGCAGCAUUCAUGAUAGGAACCCAUCUACAAACACCAGAUGAAAAACUCUGUCCUCCUCGUGGAUUUUGGGGGACUUUUGAUGUCUGCGAUGUUCUAAUGAAACUCACUCUGAGCCCAGAUUGAGUUUCGCACAAAGAAGCCCACAGGAUCCAGUCUCCAGGUCACAACAUGCUGCAGCUUCUACCAGUCAAGCCCCACUCUUUUAGGAAGAUAAAUAAGCCAGGCUCCGUGGGAUACAAGUUAGGCAGAGCCGGGAUGGGAGUGAAGGCGUAUUCAUCCUAAUUGCAGCUGAGAGUUUGCAGAAAAGUUAACCAUUUGGAUUUGUGCCUCUCCCCCGCUGCCCCAGGAGCCAGGGAAGGGCCAGCCCCGAGGCCAGGCCUCUCAACUCCGCAGAAAGCCCUUUGCAAUGCCUUCAUCUCUGCAGAGCCCUGCCCGCAGAGGAACGGCCCAGCAGUCGUCAGGUGUUCUCUGCUCGUUCCUUCCCCAUGUGGUAACGCGGAGGAAGAAGGAUGAACAUAGAAGUGGGACCUCGCCUGCCCAAAGCACGGUCAUGACACAGAACGGCAGAACUGCCAGCGCGGUUGCAGUGUUUAAUCUCGGAGCAAGCAGCAUUUGUUUCCAUUAAUGCCAUGGUUACAGGCAGUUGCGCGCGCACACCGAUGCACGCAUGCAGCAUGCACAGACACGAAGCACGCACACAAAGAUUCAGCUUGAAAAUGAGCAAAACCAGGACGCUGCGCCCAUCCCCACGUGCCACGUCCCAGGGUGCCACCGCCACGGACACAGCGCAGGGAGACGCGCUCUGGAAGGAGCCUGCCAGCCUGAACGGCAGCAGCGGUGCUGGGCACAGCAGCCAGCAAGCCUGGCACAUGGAGCAGCUGUGGGGCUUCCAGCCACUGUCCUGCACCGCCUGCAGAGAAGGGGCUACAACUGGAGGAAGCACCGCUUUAGAGUGGGGAGGAGAGCAUCAAGAGGGUCUCUCUACUGGGAUAACAGCUCCCACUGUAACAACUGGAAAAGUAAAAACAAAUAAACCCUUUUUGUUUCCA